ACGGUACCAGCAGAAAAAGCACCGGCUAACUACGUGCCAGCAGCCGCGGUAAUACGUAGGGUGCAAGCGUUGUCCUGAAAUUAUUGGGCGUAAAGAGCUCGUAGGCGGUUUGUCGCGUCUGCUGUGAAAUCUGGGGGCUCAACCCCCAGCCUGCAGUGGGUACGGGCAGACUAGAGUGCGGUAGGGGAGAUUGGAAUUCCUGGUGUAGCGGUGGAAUGCGCAGAUAUCAGGAGGAACACCGAUGGCGAAGGCAGAUCUCUGGGCCGUUACUGACGCUGAGGAGCGAAAGCAUGGGGAGCGAACAGGAUUAGAUACCCUGGUAGUCCAUGCCGUAAACGUUGGGAACUAGAUGUAGGGGCCAUUCCACGGUUUCUGUGUCGCAGCUAACGCAUUAAGUUCCCCGCCUGGGGAGUACGGCCGCAAGGCUAAAACUCAAAGGAAUUGACGGGGGCCCGCACAAGCGGCGGAGCAUGCGGAUUAAUUCGAUGCAACGCGAAGAACCUUACCAAGGCUUGACAUAUACCGGAAACGUCCAGAGAUGGUCGCCCCGCAAGGUCGGUAUACAGGUGGUGCAUGGUUGUCGUCAGCUCGUGUCGUGAGAUGUUGGGUUAAGUCCCGCAACGAGCGCAACCCUCGUUCUAUGUUGCCAGCACGUUAUGGUGGGAACUCAUAGGAGACUGCCGGGGUCAACUCGGAGGAAGGUGGGGAUGACGUCAAAUCAUCAUGCCCCUUAUGUCUUGGGCUUCACGCAUGCUACAAUGGCCGAUACAAAGGGCUGCAAUACCGUAAGGUGGAGCGAAUCCCAAAAAGUCGGUCUCAGUUCGGAUUGAGGUCUGCAACUCGACCUCAUGAAGUCGGAGUCGCUAGUAAUCGCAGAUCAGCAACGCUGCGGUGAAUACGUUCCCGGGCCUUGUACACACCGCCCGUCAAGUCAUGAAAGUCGGUAACACC
rnacentral:rRNA from 1 species